CACAAAACUAUGUAAUCGAAGGUAAAAUCAUGUUUGGCGACUUUGCAAGGCCUUUCUGCCUCAGUGGUUUCCCCUGUUGCGUUUCUCUCCCUCUCCAUCCCCUCUGGUCUUUGAAAUUCUCUGAUUAGAGUUACAUGUCCUCGCCAUGGAUGACACCAACACCGAUCAGGAAGUCUUCGAGAGACUGCUCAAGGUUUCAUUUUCAAAGAUUAUUCCAAGUCUGAGAUUUAAACUGCUCAAGAAAAUCAAGAAUUCUUCAACGUUGAGAGAGAUACCUGUAGUUACUAUGUCUUCUGAGAACAUCCUAACACACAUAGUCAGGUAACUUUACCGCUUGGAACAAUUAUCACUAUGCAGAUCAUAGAGGCUGGUGAUUAUCAUGCCAGUUUCUGGACACUAAGCAAUCUCCGAUCAAGAUGAUGUCAAUUGACUUCGACUGGAAAACGGGCCUGUCAGCAAAACGUUGGUCUAAAAGGGACAGAUUGAAGUUCUUCAAUUCAUUGUCUAAAUUUAAUCGUUCUUCAAGAUACCAACAGUUUUUUCAACUUCAACCUUUUCCACAUCCAUGGAGCUCAGAAACCAAACAGAAGUUAUGUAUGUUGCUGCUUGGAGCACUGCAGGAAGGAAUGAUUGAAGUAUUGUUUAAUUUUUCUAAACUGUAUUUUACAUUUAUUUAUUUAAAUGCUCCAUUCUUAUCACUGGGAAAUAGUGACAGUGACAGUUAUUCA